rnacentral:rRNA from 1 species
UACAGGGGGUGCAAACGUUGCUCGGAAUUAUUGGGCGUAAAGCGCGCGUAGGCAGCUACUUAAGUCGGAUGUGAAAGCCCUUGGCUCAACUGAGGAAGUGCACCCGAAACUGAGUGGCUUGAGUACGAAAGAGGGUCGCGGAAUUCCCGGUGUAGAGGUGAAAUUCGUAGAUAUCGGGAGGAACACCGGUGGCGAAGGCGGCUCUCUGGGACGGUACUGACGCUGAGACGCGAAAGCGUGGGGAGCGAACAGG